UUAAAAUUCUAUAUUUAGGAAAAGUUUAAACAAAUUGCCGGUGAAAAAAUAUUUUCUUAUAUUAAUUAAAAGGUUUUUUGACGUGAGAAUUAUUCAGUUUAUUUUCAGUACUCAGUUUAUUCUAAACCUUCAAGAUGACUGGGUGGUUUUGUAUCUUUCUUCUUAGGUUGAAUUUUUUCUGCACUUUAAUCAUAUUUUUAAUUUUCAAAAAUUGGGAAAUUCUGAUAAAAACAUGGUGAUUUGACGACACUAUAACGUUCAUUAAGAGCACUAAAAAUGAUUUUUUAUAUAAUUUGUUUGUUAAUUAAACGUAAUCUUACAUUCUAAUGGUUUUUAUAUGAUGUAUAGAUGAAGAAUCGGAAUCGUCUUCUUGGACUUGGUUGCAAAACAAUAUAUCUCGUUCACUUUUGUAAAAACGCUUGGAAAGGAAUUCUGAUAAAUGUUUUUUUCUCGCAGCGUUUCUUGAUUAGUAUUUUUCCAUGUUUAGUUUGUUAUCUUUUUGCAAUUCUGAGGAAGCAGUGGAAUUUCCAGGUGGUUGGAUAAAUCUAGGGUGCUACAAGCAACGCUACAAGUUUCUUGACUCCAAGAUAAAUAUAUCCUUGAUUGAGGCUCAACAUGAAUGUGAGCUGGUAGGAGGAUAUCUGUUUGAACAGAACUGAAACGCCUCCGGAACCAGCAGAUAACGGCGACAAAUUGCAACGCCGAGGAACCAAGAUGUCACAAGAUAAGGGGACAACGAAGAGAUUGAAGUCUUGUCUCUCUCUCUUUCUUUCGACCAUCCAUGUUUACAUAGCUGAAAUGUUAACGAGGAACCUCAAUGUUCCUAGUUAGUACAUUUCUUAAAUAUAAUGUCCCUCUCGAUAUGUUGCCUUAAGACUAAAGAGCUAACAUAAUUGCUCUUUAGUUUAAAAGAUAUGAGGAACACGAAGAGACUAAAAUCUUGUCUCUAUCCUAGUCUAUGUAGAUACUAACGAUGAACCAUCAAUGUUCCUAUUUAGUAUAUUUCUUAAUUAUUAUGUUCCUUCUUUCACCUUGCUUAUGAAGCCUCAAUAUUAACGAGUUAACAUAAUCUCGCUUAAAAUGAUGCUAAAAUCAAUCUUCCCUGAUAGAAAAAUACUUCUCAAAUAUAAUAAUCUUUUCUUUUAUCCAUAACUAUGUAGCCUCAAUAUUAACGAGGAACGGUCAAUGUUCCUCGUUAUGAAGCUAACAAUAAUUUUCUUUAAUGUAAAAAGGGAAACUCGCUCCCGUGUAUGUUUAUGUGAAAGCAUGCACACUGUUAAUUGUAGCAUUUUCCAAUAUGAGAUAACACACACUGUGUUUGUAGUAUCUCCCAGUCAUAUUUCAUAAAAGAAUGCUAUCCUUUAAUAUAUAAUGUAGUUUUUUUCUCUCGAACUGCUGCUUUAUCAAUACUUGAAUAUAAAUUUACCAGCAAUCCAGACAUGAAAAAACGUAAAAAAAUGUAUCUGUAAAAAUUAAAUUUCGACCUGAUUGAUUUAUAAUUGUAUGUACAUGACAACAUCGCAAGAAAGUUUUGUGUUAAAUCCAUAUUAACAAUCUUGUA